rnacentral:rRNA from 1 species
GACGUAGGGCGCGAGCGUUGUCCGGAUUUAUUGGGCGUAAAGAGCUCGUAGGCGGCUUGUCGCGUCGACCGUGAAAACUUGGGGCUCAACCCCAAGCCUGCGGUCGAUACGGGCAGGCUCGAGUUCGGUAGGUGAGACUGGAAUUCCUGGUGUAGCGGCGAAAUGCGCAGAUAUCAGGAGGAACACCGGUGGCGAAGGCGGGUCUCUGGGCCGAUACUGACGCUGAGGAGCGAAAGCGUGGGGAGCGAACAGG